CUGAAUCGCGGCCCGAGAAAAUGCGAGCCGUAAAGAUCUACACGCCGGCUCGUAAAAAAAUAGAAACUCCCUUCGCUUUUCUUUCGGGAAAGUGAAAUAAAAGAAGCGGAGAACGUCGAUAGGUCCGCCGAUCCGCCGGUAAAUUAACCAGUUAGCUGUGGCUCGACGAGAAUAUUUCGAGGCCGAUCGUACGCGAAGCUGUUUACGUUGUUGUAAAAAGUAAGAUUAGAAAAGGAUUACAAUAUUGCUAGUGAAUACUAGCAAUAAAAUUGUUAAUUUUAUCAAAUAAAACCGCCUUCCUGAUCCAACGUUUUAACAGCGACGCCUACUCUGUGCUUCACGAGCAUAUUCGUCGUCGCUUGAUUCUCGUGACACACAUAGGUUAUGUCAAGAUUAUCGCGAGGUUAUGAAGUAGGCGCCGAAAAGGUGGCGCCACAGCCGACUGGUUAAAGUCCUGACGCUUUCCGGAAGAACUGAAGAAAAAUGGAAGAAGAACCGGUGUCGAUGGAUCUUCGCCAGCGAAUACAGUAUUCUCUCGAUAACUGUUGCGAAGACCUCUACGAUAACUGCCAAAAUUCUAUCGCCGCCACCGAGGUAAGCCCUUUCUGGAACCAGUGAAACGUUAAACGUGCUCGAUGACCGAGGCACCGUUGGGUCAAGCGUAGGGUGCAACGUUUUUCUACUCUUUUUGGUUCCUUCGUACGAAACUUUUAUCGUCGCAUUCGACUCGUUUUUCUGGUCAAGCUGAUACGGAACAGGAUAUAAUUGCGAUUAUAAUUACUCGAGUGAGGAAAACUGAGUCGACAGCUUUUAGAACGAUUUUGCUAUUACCUGGAAUAAAUAGAAUAUGGAAGAACUCUCGAACCGCGUUACCUGUACAAGGGUUAAUCGGCAGAGCAAGAUGAAUGUAAAACGAAAAUAAACGUUUCAUCGGCAGAAAUCCAAAACUCCUUUCCUUCUCACAGCACCUCUAGGAUAGCUGUUACUCGGCGGAGUCGAAUUAGGGACAGUUAUCGAGAGAACACACAGCACCUAUUCCGAAAUCAACAGCUCGACGGCUUACCUUGGGAGCUGGCGCAAGUGUCGGCCAGAGACUCGACGGACGCCAAAUAAGGGUUCGCGUUGCAGGUGUUCCCCUGGUUGCUGCAUCCGCUGGAGGACGUGCUGGACGCCACGGAGCUUCCCGACAGAGGACGAGCAGCGUUCCUGCAUCUUCGAUUGUACCUGAGCGGCGUCAGGCCGUUGCUCUCCCGCCGAUAGUGCUUCUCCUCGAUCGCGCGAUCGGAUCGAUUCUCCUGCCGACUGCUCUCCAGGGGGUCGUAGACGACCCGGUCCUUCCGGACCUCGGUCUCGGGCUCCGGCUCCGGCUCCGCCGCGAUCGCUUCCACCCGGCUGUCAGACCUCUCCUCCAGGGUCAUCGCGGGGUCCUCCUGCCGGGAUACGGUCGCGUCCGGACAGAACUGGCCCUGACAGAACACGGACCCUCGAUGGGACACCAGGCUCAGCCGCUUCUGCAGCACCGUGGGAAAGACCACGUGCUCGUUGUAGCCAUUUCCGCGACGCGCUAGCUCGUCGAACAUACCCAGCAUCUGGGGCACCAGCAACCAGUCGUCGCCGUUUUUCGGGCAGCUCGUCGAUCAACACGGACCCCAAGAUGUCAUCGUCGACCUCGGACGGCCGCCCGGAUCGACGAUCUUCGAGAGCGAAAACUCCGACGCGAAAUUUGGCGAUCUUUUUUGGCAUCUCCGACAGCCGAUUUUCGUUGAAGAACAAAGGCUCGCCGAGGAACGACAAUGCACCGGGAUCUCGAUCAAAUCGAGCCGAUAAAAGUCCGGAGUCGGCACUCGAGUCGAACUGGGUCGCGAUAACGUCCGGAACGAGAGCUGGAAACGAACCUUUCGAUCUCGAACCAACGGGAGACGAUGGCGAAUAUGCGCGUCGAUAGCCGAAAUCGAUGGCCUCGACGGCGUCUCGAAUAAUUCCGGUGAACCAAGAAGAACGCACAGAAGCAAACGAAGCACACUUAUCGUCGAACGAUUAGGUCCUCUUUAAUCGAAGCACGCCGAAUCGAACGCGCGCUAAUUGCGCCGCUCGGGCCCAAGAACUGCAGCGAAUUGCGGCCGAGCGGUAUCUCGAGGAUUAACCCUUUGCACUCGAAGCGAUUUUAACUGUAAAUCUAAAUUAACUUUUCCGACUUAUGGUAGUUCCA